GUGUGAGUGUGUGUAUGUGUGAGUAUGUAUGUGUGAGUGUGAGUGUGUGAAUGAGUGUGUGUGUAUAUGUGUAAGUGUGUGUGUGUAUGUGAGUGUGAGAGUGUGUGUAUGUGUGUGAGUGUGUAUGUGUGAGUGUGUAUGUGUGUGUGAGUGAAGGAAGGGACCUGUCCUUUGAAACCAUCUGGAGGAAAAGGACUGAGGACUUCAGGUCCACAUUGUCAUGAACAUUUAUGCAUCAUUUGCAGGGCUGCGGGGGUCCAGAAGAGUGGGGGAAGGGGCAAUGAGAAGCCCCUGGGUCUCCUGAGGGCAGGGUCAGCUAGAGCACUGAUGUUUCUUCUCCUCCCUACUCUGCAGCGCCAUGAUUCCACCUGUGGCACGGCCUAUUUCCUGGGAAAGCCUGCAGAGGAAGAUGCCGCCAUAGUGAAGGUCCUGAAGAGCCAAGGAGACCUGCCCUUCCUCAAGACCACCAUCCCACAGACCCUGAUCAAGUCCAGUAGAGGAGGAGCAGCUGGCAGGGCUUUGAUUGCAGCAACCCUAUCUUUGGUGAGACCCUGCAUCCCUAGAAUCCAAAGAAAACCACAGGAGGCUCCACUGGAGGAGAGGGUGCCCUGUUGGCUUCUGCCAGCUCCAUCAUUGGCUUUGGCUCCGACACGAGUGGAAGCAUCCGCAUCCCCUCUGCCUUCUGUGGCAUUUACGGCAUUAAACCCACCGGCUUUCACUUCAGUUAUAAUGGCAUCAGCUCAUCUAUGAAGGGCAAGAAGUCAGGUAAGCCUUCCCUAGCCCUCUUCUCUCUAUCACUUCAGCACCCAAACUACCUUGCUCAUCAAUCCAAUCUGACCUGUGCACCCAUCAUACCCCUCCACCCCCAGCCCUGGAUUCUGGUUCUGGCCUCCUGGGAAGUCCUUCUUACUGACCUUGCUGUAUGUAGUUAUUCCUCUCCUGGUAGGAGCUAAGGAGCAUUUAUAUUCUCCCUCCCCAUAUCUCCCUCCCCCAAUCCUAGUGGUCACCAUGGCUGGCCCCAUGGCUCGAGAUGUGGACAGCCUGGUUCUGAUCUUUUGGGUGCUGCUAUUGGAAUACAUGUUCCAGCUGGACCCCAUGGUGCUGCCCAUGCCCUUCAGGAGGAGGUGAGCAGGGGUUGGGAAUGGUAGGGAAGGAGCAGCCUAUGAAAGGUGAUGCCAGGCUGGGGCAGGAGGCCAGGCUUCAAUUCCUAGUUCUGCUGCUGAUCUUCUCUGAGUUCAGGCAGUGGCUGAAUCUCUCUGGAUCCAAUUUCCCUAGUGUUCUAAUGGACAGAGUUCCAUAAGACCCAUUCCCUUCUCCCUUGCCAAGCCU
rnacentral:lncRNA from 1 species